AUUGAUAACCAUACCACUCUGAAUGUGCCCAAUCUUGUCUGAUCUCAGAAGCUAAGCAGGGUCAGGCCUGGUUAGUAGUA
rnacentral:rRNA from 1 species